rnacentral:rRNA from 1 species
ACAAACCGGAGGAAGGUGGGGAUGACGUCAAGUCCUCAUGGCCCUUAUGGGUAAGGCUUCACACGUCAUACAAUGGUGCAUACAGAGGGUUGCCAACCCGCGAGGGGGAGCUAAUCUCAAAAAAUGCAUCGUAGUCCGGAUCGUAGUCUGCAACUCGACUACGUGAAGCUGGAAUCGCUAGUAAUCGCGGAUCAGAAUGUCGCGGUGAAUACGUUCCCGGGUCUUGUACACACCGCCCGU